rnacentral:tRNA from 1 species
GGAGAGAUGGCCGAGCGGCUGAAGGCGCACGCCUGGAAAGUGUGUAUACGUUAAAAGCGUAUCGAGGGUUCGAAUCCCUCUCUCUCCGCCA